rnacentral:rRNA from 1 species
UUAAAAAGCCCGUAGUUGGAUCAAGAGUCAGACAGUGCCGUGGCCCUGUUUGCCAGUUUGGUUCCGAUCAGCUGGCGCAGCGGAUCACCCCGUGCGCCAACUGUCCGCUCUAACAGACCGAAACGUUCCCUGUGAGUAGCUCCUUAACUGGGGCUGAAAGCGCUUACGCAUCAACCAUAUGCAUACGGGACGUCGUCAAUGUUACUGUGAACAACCCAGCGUGUCCAAAACAGGCUUUUGCCUGAAUGUUCGAGCAUGGAAUAACAAGGGAUCGAUUCCCUCGGUUCUUUUUGCUGGUUUUUUAACCCGAGAAGGAGUAAUUCAGUCCACGGUGUCUGAGUUGGGUUUCCCUUCACCUCGGUGGAGGCCCCAAUUAGGCCGUGUACUUACGGGAUAAAUAGGGACUGACGGGGCCGUACGUACUUCCACGUCAGAAGUGAAAUUCUUAGAUCGUGGGAAGACGAACUUCUGCGAAAGCAUUCGACAAGAAUGUCUUCAUUAAUCAAGAACGAGAGUGUGGGGAUCCAANAUGAUCANAUACCGUCGUAAUCCACUACUGUA